CAUGUGCAUAGACUACUAGUCCA
rnacentral:siRNA from 1 species